rnacentral:rRNA from 1 species
GGUUCAAGGAUGAAAGACGGUUUCGGCUGUCACUUACAGAUGGACCCGCGGCGCAUUAGCUAGUUGGUGAGGUAACGGCUCACCAAGGCGACGAUGCGUAGCCGACCUGAGAGGGUGAUCGGCCACACUGGGACUGAGACACGGCCCAGACUCCUACGGGAGGCAGCAGUAGGGAAUCUUCCGCAAUGGACGAAAGUCUGACGGAGCAACGCCGCGUGAGUGAUGAAGGUUUUCGGAUCGUAAAGCUCUGUUGUUAGGGAAGAACAAGUGCAAGAGUAACUGCUUGCACCUUGACGGUACCUAACCAGAAAGCCACGGCUAACUACGUGCCAGCAGCCGCGGUAAUACGUAGGUGGCAAGCGUUGUCCGGAAUUAUUGGGCGUAAAGGGCUCGCAGGCGGUUUCUUAAGUCUGAUGUGAAAGCCCCCGGCUCAACCGGGGAGGGUCAUUGGAAACUGGGAAACUUGAGUGCAGAAGAGGAGAGUGGAAUUCCACGUGUAGCGGUGAAAUGCGUAGAGAUGUGGAGGAACACCAGUGGCGAAGGCGACUCUCUGGUCUGUAACUGACGCUGAGGAGCGAAAGCGUGGGGAGCGAACAGGAUUAGAUACCCUGGUAGUCCACGCCGUAAACGAUGAGUGCUAAGUGUUAGGGGGUUUCCGCCCCUUAGUGCUGCAGCUAACGCAUUAAGCACUCCGCCUGGGGAGUACGGUCGCAAGACUGAAACUCAAAGGAAUUGACGGGGGCCCGCACAAGCGGUGGAGCAUGUGGUUUAAUUCGAAGCAACGCGAAGAACCUUACCAGGUCUUGACAUCCUCUGACAACCCUAGAGAUAGGGCUUUCCCUUCGGGGACAGAGUGACAGGUGGUGCAUGGUUGUCGUCAGCUCGUGUCGUGAGAUGUUGGGUUAAGUCCCGCAACGAGCGCAACCCUUGAUCUUAGUUGCCAGCAUUUAGUUGGGCACUCUAAGGUGACUGCCGGUGACAAACCGGAGGAAGGUGGGGAUGACGUCAAAUCAUCAUGCCCCUUAUGACCUGGGCUACACACGUGCUACAAUGGACAGAACAAAGGGCUGCGAGACCGCAAGGUUUAGCCAAUCCCACAAAUCUGUUCUCAGUUCGGAUCGCAGUCUGCAACUCGACUGCGUGAAGCUGGAAUCGCUAGUA